rnacentral:rRNA from 1 species
GACGAACGCUGGCGGCGUGCUUAACACAUGCAAGUCGAACGGAAAGGCCCUGCUUUUGUGGGGUGCUCGAGUGGCGAACGGGUGAGUAACACGUGAGUAACCUGCCCUUGACUUUGGGAUAACUUCAGGAAACUGGGGCUAAUACCGGAUAGGAGCUCCUGCUGCAUGGUGGGGGUUGGACAGUUUCGGCGGUUGGGGAUUGACUCGCGGCUUAUCAUCUUGUUGGUGGGGUAGUGGCUUACCAAUGCUUUGACGUGUAGCCGGCCUGAGAGAGUAACCGGCAACAUUGGGAAUGAGAUACGACCCGAAAUAUUACCGGGGGAAAGAGGGGGGUAUUUUGGAUAAUGUGCGGAAUAAAUAUGCAGGAACGCCGCGCGCGGGAUGAGAACAUUCGGCUUGUACUCCGCUUUCGCGUGUGACGAUGAGUGAGUGACGGUAAUGGGUAAAGUAGCAACGGCUUCAUACGUG